GAUGAACGCUGGCGGCGUGCCUAAUACAUGCAAGUCGAGCGAACAGAUAAGGAGCUUGCUCCUUUGACGUUAGCGGCGGACGGGUGAGUAACACGUGGAUAACCUACCUAUAAGACUGGGAUAACUUCGGGAAACCGGAGCUAAUACCGGAUAACAUAUUGAACCGCAUGGUUCAAUAGUGAAAGGCGGCUUUGCUGUCACUUAUAGAUGGAUCCGCGCCGUAUUAGCUAGUUGGUAAGGUAACGGCUUACCAAGGCAACGAUACGUAGCCGACCUGAGAGGGUGAUCGGCCACACUGGAACUGAGACACGGUCCAGACUCCUACGGGAGGCAGCAGUAGGGAAUCUUCCGCAAUGGGCGAAAGCCUGACGGAGCAACGCCGCGUGAGUGAUGAAGGUCUUCGGAUCGUAAAACUCUGUUAUCAGGGAAGAACAAAUGUGUAAGUAACUGUGCACAUCUUGACGGUACCUGAUCAGAAAGCCACGGCGAACUACGU
rnacentral:rRNA from 1 species